UCCGGUUUGGCACCGGCAGUCUCCAAUGAGUCCCCGGCAUUACCCGCUGGUAACAGAACAUGAGGGUUGCGCUCGUUGCGGGACCUAACCCAACAUUUCACAACACGAGCUGACGACAGCCAUGCACCACCUGUGUAGCACCCUCGAAGGCGACCACGUUUCGGCGGCUUGCAGCUACAUGUCAAGCCCUGGUAAGGUUCUUCGCGUUGCGUCGAAUUAAACCACAUGCUCCGCUGCUUGCGCGGGUCCCCGUCAAUUCCUUUGAGUUUUAGCCUUGCGGCCGUACUCCCCAGGCGGGGCACUUAAUGCGUUAGCGUCGGCACGGGAGGAGUCGACACCUCCCACACCUAGUGCCCAUCGUUUACGGCGUGGACUAC
rnacentral:misc_RNA from 1 species